CUGUUGCGGGGAAAUUAAAUGCACAUGACUGUCCAUGCCGCCUGCGGUCAGGAGCAUGCCCUCACCGGCAAUGAUUUCGGUAUUGGGGCCAAUUAACAUGGUUACCUGUGGUUGCACAUUGGGAUUGCCGGCCUUACCUAAAGCGGCAAUGCGGCCAUGCUUAAUGCCGACAUCGCAUUUGAUAAUGCCCUGAUAGUCGACCACAAUGGCAUUGGUGAUGACGGUGUCCAUGGUAUCUUCGUCGGCAAAUUGGCCUUGUCCCAUGCCAUCGCG
rnacentral:sRNA from 1 species